AUUGAACGCUGGCGGCAGGCCUAACACAUGCAAGUCGAGCGGCAGCGGGAAAGUAGCUUGCUACUUUUGCCGGCGAGCGGUGGACGGGUGAGUAAUGCCUGGGGAUCUGCCCAGUCGAGGGGGAUAACUACUGGAAACGGUAGCUAAUACCGCAUACGCCCUACGGGGGAAAGCAGGGGACCUUCGGGCCUUGCGCGAUUGGAUGAACCCAGGUGGGAUUAGCUAGUUGGUGAGGUAAUGGCCCACCAAGGCGACGAUCCCUAGCGGGUCUGAGAGGAGGAUCAGCCACACUGGAAGUGAGACACGGUCCAGACUCCUACGGGAGACAGCAGUGGGGAAUAUUGCACAAUGGGGGAAACCCUGAUGCAGCCAUGCCGCGUGUGCGAAGAAGGCCUUCGGGUUGUAAAGCACUUUCAGCGAGGAGGAAAGGUUGGUAGCUAAUAACUGCCAGCUGUGACGUUACUCGCAGAAGAAGCACCGGCUAACUCCGUGCCAGCAGCCGCAGUAACAC
rnacentral:rRNA from 1 species